ACAGAGAGAGAGAGAGAGAGAGAGAGAGAGAGAGAGAGAGAGAGAGAGAGAGAGAGAGAGAGAGAGAGAGCGCAGCUGUGUGUGUGUGUUCAUUUUGUUGUUGUUAUUGUUUCUUUUCAAAUUAAGCAAUACUCUCGAUGUAUUACUCACAAACAAACAAACAAACAAAUAAAUAAAUGAAUUAAUCAAUAAACAA